AGAGUUUGAUCCUGGCUCAGAUUGAACGCUGGCGGCAUGCCUUACACAUGCAAGUCGAACGGUAACGCGGGGGCAACCCUGGCGACGAGUGGCGAACGGGUGAGUAAUACAUCGGAACAUAUCCAGUAGCGGGGGAUAACCUAUCGAAAGAUGGACUAAUACCGCAUACGAUCUACGGAUGAAAGCAGGGGACCGCAAGGCCUUGCACUAUUGGAGUGGCCGAUGUCGGAUUAGCUAGUUGGUGGGGUAAAAGCUUACCAAGGCGACGAUCCGUAGCUGGUCUGAGAGGACGAUCAGCCACACUGGAACUGAGACACGGUCCAGACUCCUACGGGAGGCAGCAGUGGGGAAUUUUGGACAAUGGGCGCAAGCCUGAUCCAGCCAUGCCGCGUGAGUGAAGAAGGCCUUCGGGUUGUAAAGCUCUUUCGGUGAAGACGAGACGGUUCAUGCUAAUAACGUGAACUAAUGACGGUACUCACAGAAGAAGCACCGGCUAACUACGUGCCAGCAGUCGCGGUAAUACGUAGGGCGCAGGCGUUAAUCGGAAUUACUGGGCGUAAAGCGUGCGCAGGCGGUUUGCUAAGACAGGUGUGAAAUCCCCGGGCUUAACCUGGGAAUUGCGCUUGUAACUGGCAAGCUAGAGUGUGGCAGAGGGGGGUGGAAUUCCACGUGUAGCAGUGAAAUGCGUAGAUAUGUGGAGGAACACCGAUGGCGAAGGCAGCCCCCUGGGUUAACACUGACGCUCAUGCACGAAAGCGUGGGGAGCAAACAGGAUUAGAUACCCUGGUAGUCCACGCCCUAAACUAUGUCAACUAGUUGUCGGGGAAGAAAUUCCUUGGUAACGAAGCUAACGCGUGAAGUUGACCGCCUGGGGAGUACGGCCGCAAGGUUAAAACUCAAAGGAAUUGACGGGGACCCGCACAAGCGGUGGAUUAUGUGGAUUAAUUCGAUGCAACGCGAAAAACCUUACCUACCCUUGACAUGCUAGGAAGCCCGCAGAGAUGUGGGUGUGCCCGAAAGGGAACCUAGACACAGGUGCUGCAUGGCUGUCGUCAGCUCGUGUCGUGAGAUGUUGGGUUAAGUCCCGCAACGAGCGCAACCCUUGCCAUUAGUUGCUACAUUCAGUUGGGCACUCUAAUGGGACCGCCGGUGACAAACCGGAGGAAGGUGGGGAUGACGUCAAGUCCUCAUGGCCCUUAUGGGUAGGGCUUCACACGUAAUACAAUGGUCGGUACAGAGGGCUGCCAACCCGCAAGGGGGAGCUAAUCCCAGUAAGCCGAUCGUAGUCCGGAUUGUAGUCUGCAACUCGACUGCAUGAAGCCGGAAUCGCUAGUAAUCGCGGAUCAGCAUGUCGCGGUGAAUACGUUCCCGGGCCUUGUACACACCGCCCGUCACACCAUGGGAGUCAAUUGCUCCAGAAGUCGAUGUGCCAACCGCAAGGAGGCAGUCGCCCAAGGAGUGAUUGGUAACUGGGGUGAAGUCGUAACAAGGUA
rnacentral:rRNA from 1 species